UACGUAGGGUGCAAGCGUUAAUCGGAAUUACUGGGCGUAAAGCGUGCGCAGGCGGCUUUGCAAGACAGAUGUGAAAUCCCCGGGCUUAACCUGGGAACUGCAUUUGUGACUGCAUGGCUAGAGUGCGGCAGAGGGGGAUGGAAUUCCGCGUGUAGCAGUGAAAUGCGUAGAUAUCGGGAGGAACACCGGUGGCGAAGGCGGCCCCCUGGUUGGAUACUGACGCUGAGACGCGAAAGCGUGGGGAGCAAACAGG
rnacentral:rRNA from 1 species